GACAGUUCCACCAAAUUCCUGAGCACGUCAAUUUUGAUAAUAAUCCCAUUGUUAGCAAUAACCUAACUAAAAUUAAAAAUUCGUGUGAAGUCCCUAAUUUCCUGGUUAUAAAUACCCAACGUUGGCUCCUCUCACUCCAGUGUUAUUAAAAGUGUGGAAGUGAUGGAUCCAGCAGGAACAAAUAAUCGUGCUAAGCAGCUAAAUCCCAACAACCCUGCGUAUCGAGCGGGCACCGUGAGUCAUGGUUACACCACUCAGAAGCCCUAUCUCGACAAUAGGUCUAGGCAACUCAAUCCCAAUAAUCCAGCUUACUGGAAUUCCAGGGCUGGAUCUGGAGGAUCCCAAGAACAGAAUCGAGGAUUAGGAUGUUCAAUCUCCUGAGGUCCUGAAAUACGAUAUUUUGUAAAAUUUUCAAUAAAAAUGUUAUUCUGGUAAA